rnacentral:rRNA from 1 species
ACGGGUGAGUAAUACUUAGGAAUCUGCCUAUUAAUGGGGGACAAUAUCUCGAAAGGGAUGCCAAUACCGCAUACGCCCUACGGGGGAAAGCAGGGGAUCACUUGUGACCUUGCGUUAACAGAUGAGCCUAAGUCGGAUUAGCUAGUUGGUGGGGUAAAGGCCUACCAAGGCGACGAUCUGUAGCGGGUCUGAGAGGAUGAUCCGCCACACUGGGACUGAGACACGGCCCAGACUCCUACGGGAGGCAGCAGUGGGGAAUAUUGGACAAUGGGGGGAACCCUGAUCCAGCCAUGCCGCGUGUGUGAAGAAGGCCUUAUGGUUGUAAAGCACUUUAAGCGAGGAGGAGGCUCUUCUAGUUAAUACCUAGGAUGAGUGGACGUUACUCGCAGAAUAGGCACCGGCUAACUCUGUGCCAGCAGCCGCGGUAAUACAGAGGGUGCGAGCGUUAAUCGGAUUUACUGGGCGUAAAGCGUGCGUAGGCGGCUUUUUAAGUCGGAUGUGAAAUCCCCGAGCUUAACUUGGGAAUUGCAUUCGAUACUGGGAAGCUAGAGUAUGGGAGAGGAUGGUAGAAUUCCAGGUGUAGCG